UCGGCACGGAGUUUAAGAAAGAAAGGAAGAUUUUUAAAACUUCUGGUCCAAAAUCAAUGAUAGAAAUUUGUGUGGCUGUAAAUCAUUUCAUUAAGGGUAAAAUAGAUAUUUUAUAAUUAGAUUGUUACUUUAUAUAGAAAUGUAUCAUUCUUUUUGGGACUGACUAAAAAGGAAAGUGAGUCAUAUAAAUUGGGACAGAGGGAG
rnacentral:lncRNA from 1 species